rnacentral:rRNA from 1 species
UGGGGAAUAUUGGACAAUGGGCGAAAGCCUGAUCCAGCCAUGCCGCGUGUGUGAAGAAGGUCUUCGGAUUGUAAAGCACUUUAAGUUGGGAGGAAGGGCAGUAAGCGAAUACCUUGCUGUUUUGACGUUACCGACAGAAUAAGCACCGGCUAACUCUGUGCCAGCAGCCGCGGUAAUACAGAGGGUUCAAGCGUUAAUCGGAAUUACUGGGCGUAAAGCGCGCGUAGGUGGUUCGUUAAGUUGAAUGUGAAAGCCCCGGGCUCAACCUGGGAACUGCAUCCAAAACUGGCGAGCUAGAGUAGGGCAGAGGGUGGUGGAAUUUCCUGUGUAGCGGUGAAAUGCGUAGAUAUAGGAAGGAACACCAGUGGCGAAGGCGACCACCUGGGCUCAUACUGACACUGAGGUGCGAAAGCGUGGGGAGCAAACAGG